CAAAUUUCACCAGAAUUUAGCAAGAAUAGAUUUGGAGGGGGAGAGGAGGGGAACCAGUAUAUUGCAGCUUCCUAUGGUAGAAGACUAGAGAGUCAAUAAUCUUGUUGCAAAACUCAGCUGAUCAUAAAGUGAAGGACCAAUGACACAAACAGGAAGAAAGUGUGAUUGGGGAGGUAAACAGUGGAGGCCGCUGAAUGUAAAUGUUUAGCUCUGUUAGGAGCCUGCAGUGAGAGUGGCUGGAAGACUUAUUGCUCCCAUGCAGAGGUGGGUAACAAUGGAUUUGCUGCACAGGGCAUCCGUAGGAUGUUAGGAAUUGAAAUUGACACAAUCACCUGAAUCCAAAUCACAGCACUGGCAGGACCUGGGCAACACAAGCAAAGCUAAACUUCAUCCCCUUGUGACUAAAGGGCUUAAAAGCAGAAGCAGGAGAGGCAACUGUCGGCAUCUGGCUAGUUAUAUGGAGAGAAGGUAACCAGGAGGAUGAAGCAACCAGUUGAGAAAACACAUCUGUUGCAUGGAACAGCUUACAGUAAUUACGAGCAGUGGCUAACAGAGGGCUGGAUCCUCAGCUGGUGUAAAAUGACGUCGCUCCACUGAAGUCAAUGGCACUUCCCCAAUUUACUCCAUAACAAUCUUUAUACAGAAGAAAGAACCUUUCACACCAGACACACACAGAAGUAUUAAUUCCAAAGAAAAAGAACAUGGACAAGAUUCUUCCUUUUUUCCAUGUGUGUAAAUGCAAAGCAAGACAACUGAUGUCAGCGGUCACACUGUAUGGGGUCAGAAUUGGACUCCAGUUCUCUCAGAUUAUAAAAUAACUCAUCAGGGUAUAAAUUACACUAAAAAGAACUUGUCUCUGCCAGGCAGGUACUGGUUGGGAAACCAUCUUUCUAUUUUAACAGCUCAGCAAAGAAUAUUUCAGACAAUGACAAACCACCUAUUUCUAUAGACUGUGACAGGGUCAGGCCAGAUGGCUACAGAAGGGUGAGAGAAAGUAGAUACAUUAGCCCCAGAUUAAGCAGGUCCCUUUUCCCUGAGUAAGAUAAUAGGCUGUUCCAGAACA